rnacentral:rRNA from 1 species
AAUCCUAUUAGGGGAAGGUGUGUUAUAAAGGAUGAUCCGCCUAUUAAUUUACUUUUAUUAUGUUGGUGUAUAUCUGGUUUGAUAUUAUUGCUUAAUAGCUUAAUUUGUGUAUUUAUAAUUAUUUAAGCCAAGUCUAUGUGCUGCUUGUAAAAGUUUUCAUGCGUUACGUUAAUAAGUUUGGUUGUGUAAGUGGCUUAAAAAUUUAGGAC